GAUGAACGCUGACAGAAUGCUUAACACAUGCAAGUCAACUUGAACUUCGGUUUGGGUGGCGGACGGGUGAGUAACGCGUAAAGAACUUGCCUCACAGAUAGGGACAACAUUUGGAAACGAAUGCUAAUACCUGAUAUUAUGAUUAUAUGGCAUCGUAUAAUUAUGAAAGCUAUAUGCGCCGUGAGAGAGCUUUGCGUCCCAUUAGCUAGUUGGAGAGGUAACGGCUCACCAAGGCGAUGAUGGGUAGCCGGCCUGAGAGGGUGAUCGGCCACAAGGGGACUGAGACACGGCCCUUACUCCUACGGGAGGCAGCAGUGGGGAAUAUUGGACAAUGGACCAAGAGUCUGAUCCAGCAAUUCUGUGUGCACGAUGAAGUUUUUCGGAAUGUAAAGUGCUUUCAGUUGGGAAGAAAAAAAUGACGGUACCAACAGAAGAAGUGACGGCUAAAUACGUG
rnacentral:rRNA from 1 species